UAUAUAAGUAACAAAAUGUGAACUUUGCAGAAUUUAUUUUUUUCACAAAUAUCUGGUGUCAAUGGAAAAAUGCAAAUUCUUUUUUGUAAUAUUCAUAUGCAUAGCACUACAGUUUUUAUUCUACUCAAAAUUCAGAUACGACAACUUUGAAAACGGAAACGUUACGCAUAUUGGAUUUCGGAAUCCUUCGCCAUCUUCGACAAUGGUGCAGUAAUGCCAUCUGACGAUCAAGCAAGCGAAUAGCUGAAAGGGUGUAAAAAUGAGGCUGGAGAUUGUCUUUCUAUCUUCGUUCGUUUCCAAUCUUCGAACGGAGAGUCGAGUCGAGUGUCGGGCCGACUGCCGCGACUGUAUGUAAUGUCGACAAGAAUGUUGACGUUUAAUUCAACUCGUCGGAAGCAACGAAUACGCGUCGUGCGAGUCUCGUGAAUAAUGUCAACGAAUUCCUUAUAACUUACUACACGCAGCCGUAAUAAUGUUAUGUAUCGUGGAGUUUACAUAAACCUGUAAUAUUCAUGAACGAACAAUCAUCGUACGCGCGAGGGCUUUGGCUCGAACUGUGACGCGCCAUAUUGGUUUUAAGAGAAUUGUUCAUAUUAGUGGGCUUUAGGUGAAUCUGUUUUACUGCAAAUGCACGUAGUAUAAUAAAGUUGAGACGAUGGAAGAGACUAAAAUCAUAUAUCACAUUGACGACGAGGAAACCCCCUACCUGGUGAAGCUUACCAUCUCACCGGAAAGGGUCACUCUUGCCGACUUCAAAAAUGUCUUGAAUCGGCCAAAUUAUAAGUAUUUCUUCAAAUCAAUGGACGAUGAUUUUGGUGUGGUGAAAGAAGAAAUUGUAGAUGAUGAUGCCCAUCUUCCCUGUUUUAAUGGACGAGUUGUUUCUUGGCUGGUAUCUGCUGAAGGCAGCAAUGUAUCGGAUGGUGCAUCACAGUGCACAGAUUCAGUGGCACAUAGUGAGGCAAAACAUGAUCGUGUUGAUCAUGUGACACCUGGUCACACAAAUCGUGGCCCACCCCCAUUGUCACAUGAUGACACUCUAACUGAAACAGAAAGUAUUACAAGUAGUCGACAAGGGCAUCAUUUGCACAAAAGUUCAAGACACCAUUCAGAUAAAUAUGAGAAAUACAAUAAAUACAAUGGACUUCGUAUAAAUGGUCAUUCGAAACACAGAUCGGGCCAUGGUUAUGAGACUGCUUCUAUUUUAAGUUCAGAUUUAGAGACAACAACAUUUUUAGAGUCAGAUGAUGAUGCUAGUAGCCGCAUAACAUCAACUACAGGCAGACAUACCAAUAUGAGUAGUACAGUUGACAGAGCAACUUUAGAGCGGCGUAGACCACAGAGGAGGAGGCGUCAUAGAUUGCCACCUAUGUCUAGAACAUCAUCCUUUAGCAGUAUCACAGACAGUACAAUGUCUUUGAACAUCAUAACAGUUUCAUUGAAUAUGGAUACUGUUAAUUUCCUUGGGAUUAGCAUUGUUGGUCAAAGUAACAAAGGUGGAGAUGGUGGAAUCUAUGUUGGUUCAAUAAUGAAAGGGGGAGCAGUUGCUUUAGAUGGCAGAAUAGAACCUGGUGACAUGAUUCUUCAAGUAAAUGACAUUAAUUUUGAAAAUAUGUCUAAUGACGAGGCAGUUAAAGUACUACGUGAAGUAGUUCAGAAACCAGGGCCAAUCAAAUUAGUUGUUGCAAAGUGCUGGGAUCCAAAUCCAAAAGGUUAUUUCACAAUACCACGUACAGAACCUGUACGGCCUAUAGAUCCCGGUGCUUGGGUGGCACAUACAGCUGCUAUAAGGGGUGAAGGUUUUCCUCCACGCCCGCCAAGCGCCACAACAAUAACUUCAACAUCGAGCAGUCUUGCAAGCACACUGCCAGAUACAGAAAGACCAUUGGAAGAACUUCAUCUUACGGUGAAUACCGAUAUGCCAACAGUAGUACGAGCGAUGGCUCGUCCUGACUCAGGGUUGGAAAUUCGUGAUCGUAUGUGGCUUAAAAUAGUAAUACCAAGUGCAUUUAUUGGAGCAGAUGUUGUGGAUUGGCUUAAUACUCACGUAGAAGGAUUUAUUGAUCGACGCGAUGCAAGAAAAUACGCAUCUCUUAUGCUAAAGGCUGGAUUUAUUAGGCAUACAGUGAACAAGAUAACAUUUUCUGAGCAAUGUUAUUAUAUAUUCGGUGACCUGUGUUCAUCUAUGAGUAGCAUGAAACUAGAUUGCGAUACAGUCGGACCAUUACCUCCGCCAAAUGCCUGGGACAUGCCUUAUUCAGGGACAUAUGCACCUCAUUCUGCAACUGGUUACAGUCCAAUGCCAUUUAACUUCACUAACGAACCAACUGUAUAUGGUUAUCACCGAGAAGAAAGUGUUCAUAGCGGUUCAGGCGGCAGUAGCGCAGGUAGUGAACAUAUUUGCAAAGAACCUAUUCACGAUUUGAAGUCCUGUUCUUCAGCAUCUGAAUCUGAAUUGCAUAUUCCAUCAGUGCCAACUAUGCCAAGUAAAAAUUCUGGCAAUGGAAAUGGUUCGAAUGGAAAGAGGUCUAACGGCAGCCGCAGUCGUUCCAGUGGUUCUGAACAAUCUGUGCAGACAGGAACUGGUUCAGGAAAUCAACAGAACCAACAAGACUUAUCUGGUAGUAGACAGUCAUUUCGCAUUGCGAUGGGAAAUCCUUGUGAAUUCUUUGUUGAUGUUAUGUAGAUGCCGGUGUUGUAAAUAGAUGAGUUAUAAAUUUAGAGAAAAGAGCAACAUAUAAUUGAAUAUUCCCGAAUGAAUACUUUGACACAUUUAUCUGGCAGAUUAAAUAAGAUCUUAUAAAUUGGCGUUAGGUAUAUUCUCUUUAUCCUUUUAACAUUAGUAGAAAUCAUAUAAAUAGAUAACGUAUAUUUACAGUGAAUCUUAUAUGGUAUUUCAAAGUAUUUAUUCGCUGCCCUAUUCAAUUUAUUUCCAGGUUUAUAUAAUUCGUAUUUGAUGUUUUAACGAUUUGUUCAUACGUGUCGUUUCAACUUUGCAUUCCACUUUAUAUUAUAUACUUGGCAGUAAUAAUAUUUUUGGAAGUUCGUCUCUAUUAAAUGUAUUUUAUAUUCAUUAAAAUAUUUGCAUGUAAUAUGUAAAUGUACAUACUAAUGUGGUUCAAAGAAGUUGCAUCAGAAUGUAAGAUUUAAAUUCAACAAAGAGUAAAACAGGUAUUUUUUAUGCCAUAAUAAUAAUAAAAUUUCAAAUCAUUUUUAGAAUAUUGAUUUUAUUAGCUAUAGUAGCUGUUGAUUAUAAUUCAUUUACUAUUCCUUUUAUUUUCAUUAUUUGAUUAGUAUAAAUUUGAAAAUUUACAUAUAUACUAAAGUAUAUAUACGAGAUAAAACUAAAAUUGUAUUAUUAUUAUUAAGCUUUGCUGGAAAAAAACAAGUACAUUUUCAAUGUUGUGCAUGAAAUAUGCAACUGUUGUGUUGAAGUUUAGCAUACAUAUAGCAAUAACGAGCCUAGUAUAACUAUUAUGUACGAGAAACUCAGUAUUUAAUAUCGAUAAUUCAUUAUUAUUAUACAUACACUAUACUGCACGCUUUACUAUAAAUAUAUUACGGUGUAUUUGUUGAUGUAAAGCACGAUCGCACAUGAAGUAGAGCACAAGCAUGGUCAUGUAAAUAACACGGUUUAUGUCGAUAAAUAUACGUAAUGAACAUUGCAAUAAUUCGCUACGUAAUGCAUGUAAAUUAUAAUUAUUUUAUAAAAAAAAAGGUACGUAUUUUUUUAUUAAUAUUUUUCCAUUGCUUGCGUUCUAGGAUUGUCUACGACAAUGGGGCAGCUAUUUCUUUAAAAUCGAGAGGAUGUUAUUUCGAAAUGUUAAAAGGUUCACUAAUUAUUGCUUUGCAAACACAUUCUUUAAGACUAAUCCGCUUUAAAUAAAAAGAAGGAGGAAAAACGAAAAAAAGUAUAUAUAUGCAUGUACAAAGAAAAUAUGCAAUACGAUUGUUAUUGUAUAUUGGGCAAUUAUUGGUGAAUCAUUUAAAUUGAGGUUGUCCAUGCGUAAAGGACAAAUUUUUAUUGUAUUCCUAUUGAUUCCAGUUAUUUGGUGAUGAACAAAAAGAAAUUGUUUAAAAUUAUGUUGUGUGGUAUUGCAUCACAAAGUUCGACAAUAUGUAAAUAGAUCGAAUUAUGCUCAUAUUAAAUGUGCCAUCUUAUCAGUGUUAGAAAGUACUGAAAAAGGAACUGCGACAUAUAAUUUAUAUAUACAAGCUUCCCAGGUGUAUGCAUUUCUUUACUGUUUAUGUUCAUUGAUGUCAUCUUAUCUAAUGAAUUAUUACGAAUUCUUACGAAUUAUCUUCUGCAUCUCUCACACACACACACACACACACACACACAAGCUUAUUUAAUUUCAACAAACGUUCAUUACAUUUAAUUGCGUCUUGCCGUUGCGUUAUUAUUAUAUAAAUUUUUAUUUAGCAUAUCACGUUGUAUUUAAAUAACGUUCUUUUUAUAAAAUGCCGCUAGAAAAUACUUGCAUUCGAUGCACAUAAAUGCAUUGGCGUCGUAACACUAUAAGAGUAAUUUCAAAUAUGGUGUGAUGUUUCUUCCUACCAAACAUUUCACGUUAAAAUGAAAAAAAAAAAAAUAUCAGUAGCGAUUUUUACGUUUCUUUUUCUAUCGAUUUUGCUACUUUUUAUAUUUACACGAACUAUUUACAUUGCUUCCUUAAUAUUUAUAAAACGUAUAUCAUAGAAAAUACUACCUACGUCUUUUUAUAUAACAUGCAACCAUGUUUGAAAAUUUCGUUGUCUAAUCGUGCAAUUUUCCAAAAUAACGACUGAAACCUCUUUUUAUUUCCCCCUUUUCUUCGGCAUCUUAUAAUUAUCGAUAAAUAGGCACUUUUUUAUACUGUCCCCUGUAGAGAAUAAUAUAACGGUAUUAUAAGAAAUUUUUUACCGAUUUGAUAAGCACAUAAUACAUAGAUUGUAUAGGAAAGAUUUUGUUGGAAAAUUGCGCACUGGCAUUUAAUCGUUAAUUUCAAUGGAAAUGUUUUCAUUUCGCUGCAAAUGAUUAUGUAAUUCGAUAUUUAAGAAGGUAGUUUACACGAACUUCUAUCGUUUAUCGAUAUCAUUAUGGUACCAAUCAUUAUAUAUUAUUCUGUAAAAUAUAUACAUAUUUUAUGUUGCAGACAGGUUGUACAGUAUGUUUGAGAAAGGCAAAAUGUGUAUUUACAAUGUAUUGUUUCAAAUUAAUAUUUACAAACCAAGAUCCAUUUAUUAUUUGAAUAAAAAAUGAUACCGAGGAUGAAAAAGAGUGAAAAUACAAAUUUUGCGACUCACAGACAUACUCCGAACUUGGUUUAUUUUAUUUUCUAUUUAUUGCGCCGCUCUAAAAGGACGUGCUGCUUUCUGUCUAACAAACGACUCAAUUCCCCUUUGCAACUUACGUUGUGCGCAUGUGGAUUACAUCAUGUCAAAGACGUAAUCGAGUCAUUUUUGUGCCUUGUGCUGCGCUGACGAUUGAUGCAGAGCGGCGUAUGCACGAGGAAAUUCGUACACUGACUAGCGGUUUGGACAACAAUAGCAGAGACAAUAUCUGUGAGUGUAUUUUAUUUUGUCACGUCGAGGGACUCACGCUGAUUCCUUUCUUUCCGUAUAUCUCUGUCUUUUUGAAUUUCAAACGUUAAUGAAGAAGACAUUUUGGAGUACCAGUUUCUGCACAAGUGAAGAUAUUUGUUAAUGCAAUACGUAUACGUAAUGGUGGUACUAUAGAAGUUGAAAAAAAGGAAAUUAAGGUAUAUUUCCACUUGACCUUGAAUUGGGUGGACGGAAGUAGCAAACACGAGACAUAUAUAUAUUUAUACAUAUAUAUAUAUAUAUAUAUAUAUAUAACAGACGAAUUUUGAUUAAGCGUCAUAGAAAAUAAAGAAUCUAAACUAUAUAUAAUUUGUAAUGGCUAUACAUAAAAGAAGGAAAUAGGAUUAAGGCCAUCAAAUUUCCAUGUGGUAUUUAAUAUCAUUCGAAAACGUGAUCUAUAUAGAUUUCGACAGGAAAACAAGAAAUGAUGGCGAAAAAGCGUGCUUUUUUAACGCAGGGUGUAUGUAGAUUGAGAAAUAAGAAUUCUCGUUAAUUCCAUAUAUGUGUUUUAUCGAUACUUCUUGUUCUACCUUUGUUUUUUUAUUUUAAAAUAAUCGCGAUAAUUAUGUGUCAUUUUCGAUUGUAUAUCUUUUCACAUCGUUUGUCAGUUUAAACAAUAAUGGAUAUUUUCAGUUGGGCUUAAAGUUUUUCAUUUUUGAUCUUAAAAGUUUUUGAAAGUAAAAAAAUUCUUUUUUUUCAACUGUUUCAUUUGUUCUUUUUUUCAAAUGUUAAUUAUCAUGUUAUAAUAUGGCUGUAUUUUUAAUUAUACGGGUAUGAACAUCAAAUUUACGAAAUGCAAAAUGGAAACUAAGAUUUUGGUACUGAGGAUGGAACUGAGGUAUAGGAGCAAAAAGUGUCAGUAUAAUAAAAGAUGAUAUUCGCAAAAUUCCUGAUUUAUUAGUACAACUUAUGACUGCAAAUACGUCUGUAAUGAAGUGUUAAUUCAUGCUAUGAAAAUUAAUUAGUAUGAAACAUAUUAUACAAUUGUUGUAAGUAUUAUCGUUUCACCUGAAUUUUACGCUUAAAUGAAAAAGAAAAAUUGAAACUUUUGUAACUAUAAAUAACACAGAACACUUUUUAUCAAUCUUUAUAUGAAAAUAUUCUAUUGGAGUUUUCGCGUUAAUUCAAUCAAGCAGCUAUAGAAUAUUUAAAACAUAAGUGAUAAUAAUUUCACCAUUAUUCUUCUAGUUUAAACAAACACCAUGCGUCGUUGAAUUUUCUUUAUACUAAAUAAUUGAGAACUCGAUGUAUGUACGAUUUUAUUUUUCCACACUACUUUAACCGAUUACUCGUUAAGGAAAGGCAAUACGUAAAUAAAUUGUAAAGAUAGGAUUAUAUAAUUGGUGAAACACUUUCUCCCCCGAUUCUGUGUGUAAGUUUAUACGAGUAAGUGUGAUGAUACUGCAUUGUCAUGUGCAUGCACGAGUCUCCUCCCUCACUAUUAGAAUUACGGAUAAAAACGGAAAAAAAAGAAUGGAAGAAUAUGAAGUAAACCUCGAUGAGUCAAUAUGAAUCGAAUGAAAGUUUACUCAUUGCGACGCAUUCGAACGCUAUUCCGACUGAAGUAUUUUAAUGUCAUUUAGAGUACCAUAGUACAAGGCGACAAGAUAGUCAAUCGAUAUCGCAUUUACAGACAGAUAGUUCAUUCCUUGUAUUUUUUAUCCCUUUGCGAGACAAAUGUUUGCGGACUUUUUUAUCAAGGCUACGACCGCGUACACGGUGUCGUCGAUACUCUAUUUGCGAUGUUCAACGAUUUUUACACUAUUUAUUAUAUAUUAUGUGAGACUAAGAGAUUUGUAAAAAGAAGAAAAGAAAGAGAAAACGGGAAGCUGAAGGAAAGAAAGAGUAAGGAAGAAAGUGGCGCAUUCAUUAGACCGAUAAAAUAAACGACUUCUUCAAUGUGUGUGUUUCAUGGAAACAUUGCGAGAUGAUAUGACAGAUCAUGUAUGUCGAGACGAUCUUCUCUACCGCCUUUUUUCUGUCGCGAAACUGACUGCGAAAAAGAAAGGAAAACAAAAUGUAAUGCGAACGAGUUUAUAUCCAUAGUAUACACGAUUACGUGGAUGUAACGAAUGAUCACAAUGGUUCAGAUUAUUCCGCAAGAUCAGGUAAAGAUCUGCAGGAAGCGUAAGCUAAAAUAGAACGACGAAAGAAUUCAAUACAUGUAGUAGUGUGUGGAUAUACAGGGAAAUAGAUUGUAAAGAUUUUUAUGACUGUCUGAAAUUAUUAUUGUCUUUGAUA